CCCGCCCCCAGGCGCAAUGGGAAGGCCCUAAGCCCGGACAUUCGUCCCCGCCCCCAGGUACAGUGGGACGGCCUGAGGCUCGGUACCCUCCACCACGGCCGGCUCGGCUCCUCCAAUUCGCCGGACACCAACUCUCUUGGACAGCGCCUUCCACUGCCCAUUCUCCGACGUAGCUGGGUGGGGACCCCAACGGUGCUUGAAGCUUGGGGAGACUUCGAGCCCCCCAACUGGACAAUCCGGCAAAGGGGCAGUUUGCCAAAGGUGCCAUGAAGACUCGGAGAGGAUGCAAGGAAAUGCCCCUGCCUGCAACCCCAAACAUCUUCAGGAUGGAACCAAAGCCAUCAGCCCAGCAGGAGAGUGAUGUCCCAGCCCACCAGUCUGCAACUCCGAGCAGGAGGAGCCCCUGCACCACUCAAAUAUCCCAGCAGAGAGCAUUCUCUCCAGCAUAGGAGUGGAAGCAGCUCCCGCCAGACCUGCACCAGCUCACAGGAGGUUCAAGAUGGCAAGGACCCCACAGCUUCUGUUAAAGAGCUGUCAUCCCUCGGGCUGGAAAUACAGCUCAGCUGGCAGAGCGCUUGCCUCACAUGCACAAGGCCUUGGGUUCAAUCCCCAGCACCACAGAAGAAAAGAGAAAAAAGAGCUGUCAUCCCAUAACGAGCAUGACACCAUCCCCUCAUCCUUUCUGAAAAAUAAAUGACAUGUGAGCCUGUGGGGGCGCCAUCAGAGCAGAGGCUGCGCUGUGGGAUGUGCAGGCCUAGCGAUAUGGCAGCAACCUCCGGAGGAAUUGGGCAGCAGGAGCGCUAAACCCGAGCCUGUGGCAGGGGGUAGGUGUGACUGAUAUCCCUACAGUGGACACUUAGCCAUCAAACCCAGCGUGCCCCUCCAGAUGGCCUGAGGCCAGGGCUCCUCUCCGUUCUGUGGCUGAGAAGGGUCAGCCCAGCUGCAAAGUGUGGAAACAGGACAGGCGCUCCUGCGGCACUGAGGCCCCUCAUGGGUGCAGUGUCAGCUGAGCAUGCUUGCACCCUGCCCCCACAUAGCUGGGUGUUCUCUGGAGUCCUCUCUGCUCUCUCAGGAUUCUGGCAGCACCCAUGCU
rnacentral:lncRNA from 1 species